rnacentral:rRNA from 1 species
UACGUAGGGUGCGAGCGUUGUCCGGAUUUAUUAGGCGUAAAGGGCUCGUAGGCGGCCUGUCGCGUCGGGAGUGAAAGCCCACUGCUUAACGGUGGGUCUGCUUCCGGUACGGGCGGGCUGGAGUAUGGCAGGGGAGACUGGAAUUCCUGGUGUAGCGGUGGAAUGCGCAGAUAUCAGGAGGAACACCGGUGGCGAAGGCGGGUCUCUGGGCCAUUACUGACGCUGAGGAGCGAAAGCGUGGGGAGCGAACAGG